rnacentral:rRNA from 1 species
GACGAACCGUCCGAACGUUAUUCGGAAUCACUGGGCUUAAAGGGUGCGUAGGCGGCGUAGAAAGUUGGGUGUGAAAUCCCUCGGCUUAACCGAGGAACUGCGCCCAAAACUACUAUGCUCGAGGGAGAUAGAGGUGAGCGGAACUUAGGGUGGAGCGGUGAAAUGCGUUGAUAUCCUAAGGAACACCGGUGGCGAAAGCGGCUCACUGGAUCUUUUCUGACGCUGAGGCACGAAAGCUAGGGUAGCGAACGGG